rnacentral:rRNA from 1 species
GACGAACGCUGGCGGCGUGCCUAAUACAUGCAAGUAGAACGCUGAAGGCGGAGCUUGCUUCUCUGGAUGAGUUGCGAACGGGUGAGUAACGCGUAGGUAACCUGCCUGGUAGCGGGGGAUAACUAUUGGAAACGAUAGCUAAUACCGCAUAAGAGUAGAUGUUGCAUGACAUUUGCUUAAAAGGUGCAAUUGCAUCACUACCAGAUGGACCUGCGUUGUAUUAGCUAGUUGGUGGGGUAACGGCUCACCAAGGCGACGAUGCAUAGCCGACCUGAGAGGGGGAGCGGCCACACUGGGACUGAGACACGGCCCAGACUCCUACGGGAGGCAGCAGUAGGGAAUCUUCGGCGAUGGACGGAAGUCUGACCGAGCAACGCCGCGUGAGUGAAGAAGGUUGUCGGAUCGUAAAGCUCUGUUGUAAGAGAAGAACGAGUGUGAGAGUGGAAAGUUCACACUGUGACGGUAUCUGACCAGAAAGGGACGGCUAACUACGUG